GCCGUUGUACGAACAGCUCACGGCAGAAACAAUCCGGCCAGAUGUCGAAUGGGAUGUAAGCAGCUUUACUGAGAAGAUUACAGCGGCAGCAAUAAAAUCUAUACCUCGGACCAGCGGCAAAAUUGGACCAAAAGCGGCUCCGUGGUGGUGCCCCGAAGCAAAAACGGCAAUCCGAUGGAGAAGAAAGUGUCUUCGCUCCCUUCGACGACUCCAGUCAUCCGACCCGGAUCACCCCGAAGCACUGGCGAGAUUUCAAGAAGCAAGGGCAGCAGCACGAAAAGCGAUCACUCAGGCAAAGCAGCAAUCGUGGGAAAAGUUCGUGGCGAGAAUAUCACCCAGCAGCACGUCGACUGAAUUGUGGCGGACCGUGAACACUCUACGUGGUAAUCGGCGACAGCGUCCGGUAGUCCUCCAGCGAUCGGACGGGUUCACGGAUGAUCCCAAAGAAGUAGCAGAAGAACUAGCGAAAGUUUACAGCGAAAGAUCUGUUACGUUCGUAUUUUGAAGCUUUUUUAAUUGUAUUUUGUUAUGUGUGCAAACUCAAGAAAAUAAAAAUAAACAAACCCUGGAGCAUAAGUGAACACUUUGCGAUUAAAACAUCGUGCUGCAAGGGAAGUCUGUCUUGCAAACAAGAGGGGAAUAGGAAAUUAUCUUGUCACUCGCAACCAACACAACAAUAAUUCGUCGCUUCCGUUCGCGACACACUGAGAGCCGCUGGCUGUCACAAACGAAGUAGAGGAGACAGAGUUGUGGUGUCUGCCAUGUCCGCGGCAUCUGGGGAGUGCUGCUCGUGACACAAGGAAGGAAAAAGAACGGCUAGUGUAGACGUUCCGGUGUUCGGAAGGAACAAACGUAACCGGAACCACAGAGCGAGGCGCUCCACAACAGAUAAAUCGCCGACAUCGAUACCGCCGUGGGCAGUAAUUCGUCAAAGACAGAAAACCCGUUUUCUCAAACGGUUGUUGGCGGAACACGCCAAGGGAAGGCGGCAACACAUUUCGAGGCAAGCGGUGACAAUUCCCUCACCAUAAGCAAAGAAGCUCGGAUAGGAUAGAAGACAGAAAGGAUUGGCAACAGCACGGACCGAACCCCUCAACGAUCCCACAGCCACGCGGAACGUGAUCGGCAGAGACGAUUUGAACGAGUCAAGGCGACACGCAUAAGAGGGAACGACGGUACCUUCAAGCAAAGGUCGCAGCCCAACGGAAAAGCGAAUUGCUCCUCCAGAUUGUUGUUCAGGUCAAGCAGAUCGCCAUCGACGGUAGGACGAACG